rnacentral:rRNA from 1 species
UACGGGGGGGGCAAGCGUUGUUCGGAAUUACUGGGCGUAAAGGGCUCGUAGGUGGCCAACUAAGUCAGACGUGAAAUCCCUCAGCUUAACUGGGGAACUGCGUCUGAUACUGGAUGGCUUGAGUUUGGGAGAGGGACGCGGAAUUCCAGGUGUAGCGGUGAAAUGCGUAGAUAUCUGGAAGAACACCCGUGGCUAAGGCGGUUCUCUAGUACGGUACUGACGCUGAGACGCGAAAGCGUGGGGAGCGAACAGG